rnacentral:lncRNA from 1 species
GCCUUUUGUCUCAAGAGUUCUAGGAUCAAUGAUGUGUAACCUUCAAUGCCUGGGAAAGAUACUUAGAGAGCCUGUGCAGAUGAUCCGGCUAUUUGGGCUUUGUAUGAGCAGCUUGUUACUCCUGGGAAGUCUGCCCAUUUGUUGCUGCUGUCUUUGGCAGAGGAGCAAAUACGCCAAUUCUUUACGUAUGAAAAAUGAAAGAAUUUUGGAGGGUGUGAAGAAAGAAAGAGAGAAACUGAAGGGGGGUACCGAAGUGUCAGCAACAACAACAGAAGAAGAGGAUGGUAAUGAAGAUGAGAAGGAAAGUGAAGCAUUGCUUUCCCGUUGAGUUGAGUGCACACCUUCCAGAGCAGAGGAGACUGUCCCAGUUGUCCAAGCCCGACUGUUCAUUUUAGAAAGAUAGAAAUUUGUUGUUUUUGUCUUUACCCUCAAGUAUAAAAUAAAGUUCACAGUUCUGUUUUUAUGCACCAAACAAGAAUCCAGAUUAUUUCUGUUAAACGUAGUUUCUAUAGAAUUUUUAAAAAUAUG